AGCGUAGGCGGAGAAAUAAGUUAGGAGUUUAAUGUACGGGCUUAACCCGUAAUCUGCUCCUAAUACUGUUUUUCUUGAGUAUGGGAGAGGGAGAUGGAAUUCCAGGUGUAGCGGUGGAAUGCGUAGACAUCUGGAAGAACACCAGCUGCGAAGGCGGUCUCCUGGCCCAAUACUGACGCUGAGGCUCGAAAGCUAGGGGAGCAAACAGGAUUAGAUACCCUGGUAGUCCUAGCCGUAAACGAUGGACACUAGAUGCUGGGAGGAGUCAAUCCUUUCGGUGUCGUAGCUAACGCGUUAAGUGUCCCGCUGGGGAGUACGCUCGCAAGGGUGAA
rnacentral:rRNA from 1 species